ensembl:lncRNA
GUUUAUGUUUAUUUUAGUGGAGAAAAUUGGGCAGGAUGGGGGAGAGAGAGAGAGAGAAAAUAGGCGAGAACCUAGCUCGCUGCUUCUUUCUCCUGGAGACGGGAAAAAAAAUAAAUAAGGGAUCUCCCAGUUGAAGACUUGUGCACAGUGAGUGGAAGCAAUGCGUUAAAGAGUGCUUUGACGCGCCAGCGGAGCUUCAUAAUGUAGACCGACCAGGCUCCUUCUACUUAAUUUAAUCUUCGUGGCGCUAGGCCGAGCCGAGCCGAGCCGAGCCGGUGCUUCGCUCCCCCCCCCCCAACAGGCCAGGAGGGAGGGAGGGAGAGAGAGAGAGAGAGAGAGAAGAGAAGAGAAGAGAAAGAGAGAGGCUCCAUUAUUUUACUACCAAAUUGCCAGACCGUUUCUUCUCACUGGCUCCUAGCGAUUUUAGAAGCUGAGACUAAGAAAGAGCCCCAUACCUCAGAAAUACAGGCGCAACUCUCCUUCCAAGCCCCCCCCCACGUGCGCGCUUGCCUUGGAGGACUCGACCGUAGCCUGAAAUAACCCUUUCUCCGCUCUUUCUACCGAUCUACUGGCGAAGAAAGUUAGGCAGAAGUUGGGAUGCCAGGGAAAAUCUUGCAAAGAACUCCAGUCAGUAAAGCUUCCAUCAAGGAAGACUGAGAAGCAAGUGGGAAAUUAUGCAGCACACUAACGUGCACUAACAUGCAGGGGGGGGGAGAAAACAAAUAACGAAGGGUCCAUCUAUUCAACUGUGUCGCUGUUUUCCUGCUUCUUCACCGGCGGCACAAAUCUCCCCCCCCCCGUACACUGAAGGUAGGGGGAGCUAAGCAAACUGCAGCUUCACCGCUCUCUUCCUGUCCGCUAGAUGGCAGCACGAUCCAGCGAUUCCACUAGCAUUGGCAAAGGGGAAUUUGUGUUUUCCCUCCCUCCCCCACCGAGUUCCCAGCAUACCCUCCUCCUCCAAAUUCUCGGGUUUUUUCUUCCUCUUUGCUUGAACUUUCCUUUAUAAGCACUGAUCCUCUCAAUCGAAGGGCGGGGGGGGGAAAUCACUGACUUUAGUUUCUUAUAAAUUAAUCAUCUCUGAAGUUGCUUUAAAAGAUUUGUGCAAGGACGAAAUCGAACUGGAGAGAAAAGUAAAUUUGAAAUAUAGCAAUACGUUAAAAAGUUUUUUUUUUAAGGAGAGCAGAGCAUCGCUAACUGAAAAAUGGGAUGUUGAUUUCUGGUCGGGCNAACACCCACCCGCCGCGGUCCUAGUGGCGGCGAAGGAGGCAUGUUUAAAUCAUAGCAGUAAUAACCAAUCCUCGGAAUAUUAAUNUGGAAGAGCAUUUAAAGGAACGGAAAGGAGACGGCGUGGAGCGAAGCGGGUGAAAGGCGCAUGUUGCAACCAGAGCAUACGGAAUCACACAUGUAUAUUCAGAUCCGUACAUUCCUUAAGGGAUCUCCUUAGCCAUCUUCUUCCAGCCAUUAAACAAUGAAAUGCCAUCUCCAGAACUGUAGUUCCUAACCAGGGUAUUUUUGGAGACGUGAAGGGACAGGAGGAGGAUCCCAAAGAGAAACCUAAUUUUCUUUCCUUUUCUUUUUAACUUUUCAGAAUGAGCCAAAAUAAUUUCCUUUUAAUUCCCCUCUCCCCUUAUCUCAGUGCAUUUCUUUCCCGCCCCCCGUCCUUCCUUUUAUCGUGCGUGUGUGUGACCAUAGACGACCCAUACUAAUCAGGUCUCAAAGUAAAUAGCAGAGCAGGACGAUCUCCAUGUAAAUUGUGCUUGUCAGAAGAAUCCCCCUCCCUCUUUCUCUCUCUCCCUCCUCCCUUCGCCACCCCUCCCUCCCCCCCUCCCUCUUCCCUAUCUCAGGCAGUAGGUAGCGAAGAAUAAAGGCGGUGGGAGGGAGCGCGCGCGAGGGAAG